rnacentral:rRNA from 1 species
GACGAACGCUGGCGGCGUGCUUAACACAUGCAAGUCGAACGGACAGGCCCUGCUUUUGUGGGGUGCUCGAGUGGCGAACGGGUGAGUAACACGUGAGUAACCUGCCCUUGACUUUGGGAUAAAUUCAGGAAACUGGGGCUAAUACCGGAUAGGAGCUCCUGCUGCAUGGUGGGGGUUGGAAAGUUUCGGCGGUUGGGGAUGGACUCGCGGCUUAUCAGCUUGUUGGUGGGGUAGUGGCUUACCAAGGAUUUGACGGGUAGCCGGCCUGAGAGGGUGACCGGCCACCUGGCGACUGAGAUACGGCCCAGACUCCUACGGGAGGCAGCAGUGGGGAAUAUUGCACAAUAGGCGGAAGCCUGAUGCAGCAACGCCGCGUGCGGGAUGACGGCCUUCGGGUGGUAAACCGCUUUCGCCGGUGACGAAGCGUGAGUGACGGUAAUGGGUAAAGAAGCACCGGCUAACUACGUG